UCAACUUAUGAGCGACAUGGCCGCCAUGUUGCUGUCAUGAACUCUCUCCCUCUCUCUCUCUCUCUCCUCCUCUCUGUCUCUCUCACCCACCACACAUCUCACCACCGGGAAGAAGUGCCAGGGCCCUUCUCUGUUUUCUUUCUGAGGGAAAAGGACAUCUGUGGCAGAACCAGUCUCUUUUGACAGCCCAUUUCUUGCCUGCCGUCUGCUGGACCUUUGGGCCGGGGCAUAACCUUCCAAACGGGACUUGGCAGACCCAAUUCUCCCCUUUGGCAGUUCCGAGCCCAAGACUUGAGGGUGAUGCUAGGAGCCUCCAGUUCGCCCUCUGGGACCAACCAAGUUCUCAAAUCCAGCUUUUCCACAGAGCGGUCUCUAAGUCACUACCCUAAGAAGCCCCUUGACGAUGUGCCCAGCUGGUGAGAGGAUUCUCUGAAUGAUGUCUGCACACUGACUUGCUCCUAAAUGUAGAAUCACUGUCACUGACAAAUGCAGACUGGAGAUGGGGUGUGGUGCUGGCAACUGAAAUACCUGGAAAGCAAUGCUGUUUGUAAUCAGAUUGUCCAGCCUGGAAAACGGCUCUUAGAAAAGUUCCAAACAAAUCAAAAUACAGACUUCUCUUGAUGGGUACAAUGGUUGC
rnacentral:lncRNA from 1 species